AUACGUAGGGGGCGAGCGUUGUCCGGAAUCACUGGGCGUAAAGGGCGCGUAGGCGGUCAGCUAAGUCUGGUGUCAAAGCCCACGGCUUAACCGUGGAGGGGCACUGGAAACUGGCUGACUUGAGUGCAGGAGAGGGAAGCGGAAUUCCACGUGUAGCGGUGAAAUGCGUAGAGAUGUGGAGGAACACCAGUGGCGAAGGCGGCUUCCUGGUCUGUCACUGACGCUGAGGCGCGAGAGCGUGGGGAGCGAACAGGAUUAGAUACCCUGGUAGUCCACGCCGUAAACGCUGAGUGCUAGGUGUUGGGGGUUCAUACCCUCAGUGCUGAAGGUAACCCAAUAAGCACUCCGCCUGGGGAGUACGGCCGCAAGGCUGAA
rnacentral:rRNA from 1 species